GACGAACCGUGCGAACGUUGUUCGGAAUCACUGGGCAUAAAGGGCGCGUAGGCGGCUUAUCAAGUCAGGGGUGAAAUCCGGCAGCUCAACUGUCGAAGUGCCUUUGAUACUGAUGAGCUAGAGGGAGAUAGGGGGUAUGCGGAACUUCCGGUGGAGCGGUGAAAUGCGUUGAUAUCGGAAGGAACGCCGGUGGCGAAAGCGGCGUACUGGAUCUCUUCUAACGCUGAGGCGCGAAAGCUAGGGGAGCAAACGGGGAU
rnacentral:rRNA from 1 species